AACGAACGCUGGCGGCAGGCUUAACACAUGCAAGUCGAGCGGAGAUGAGGUGCUUGCACCUUAUCUUAGCGGCGGACGGGUGAGUAAUGCUUAGGAAUCUGCCUAUUAGUGGGGGACAACAUUCCGAAAGGAAUGCUAAUACCGCAUACGCCCUACGGGGGGAAGCAGGGGAUCUUCGGACCUUGCGCUAAUAGAUGAGCCUAAGUCGGAUUAGCUAGUUGGUGGGUAAAGGCCUACCAAGGCGACGAUCUGUAGCGGGUCUGAGAGGAUGAUCCGCCACACUGGGACUGAGACACGGCCCAGACUCCUACGGGAGGCAGCAGUGGGGAAUAUUGGACAAUGGGCGGAAGCCUGAUCCAGCCAUGCCGCGUGUGUGAAGAAGGCCUUUUGGUUGUAAAGCACUUUAAGCGAGGAGGAGGCUACCUGGAUUAAUACUCUAGGAUAGUGGACGUUACUCGCAGAAUAAGCACCGGCUAACUCUGUGCCAGCCGCCGCCGUAACAC
rnacentral:rRNA from 1 species